UACGUAGGGGGGCUAGCGUUGUCCGGAAUCAUUGGGCGUAAAGCGCGCGUAGGUGGCUUCGUAAGUCCGCUGUGAAAGUCAAAGGCUCAACCUUUGAAAGCCGAUGGAUACUGUGAAGCUAGAGUACGGAAGAGGCGAGUGGAAUUCCUGGUGUAGCGGUGGAAUGCGCAGAUAUCAGGAGGAACACCAAUAGCGAAGGCAGCUCGCUGGGACGUUACUGACACUGAGGCGCGAAAGCGUGGGGAGCGAACAGG
rnacentral:rRNA from 1 species